rnacentral:rRNA from 1 species
CCUACGGGUGGCAGCAGUGAGGAAUAUUGGUCAAUGGACGAGAGUCUGAACCAGCCAAGUAGCGUGAAGGAUGACUGCCCUAUGGGUUGUAAACUUCUUUUAUAUGGGAAUAAAAUGUUCCACGUGUGGGAUUUUGUAUGUACCAUAUGAAUAAGGAUCGGCUAACUCCGUGCCAGCAGCCGCGGUAAUACGGAGGAUCCGAGCGUUAUCCGGGUUUAUUGGGUUUAAAGGGAGCGUAGGUGGAUUGUUAAGUCAGUUGUGAAAGUUUGCGGCUCAACCGUAAAAUUGCAGUUGAAACUGGCAGUCUUGAGUACAGUAGAGGUGGGCGGAAUUCGUGGUGUAGCGGUGAAAGGCUUAGAUAUCACGAAGAACUCCGAUUGCGAAGGCAGCUCACUGGACUGCAACUGACACUGAGGCUCGAAAGUGUGGGUAUCAAACAGGAUUAGAUACCCUAGUAGUC